UGUAAUAGGGUUAGAGGCAGAGAAUCCCAGUGGAGAGAGGGGAACCGGCCAGGCAGAGACAGCAAGGGUGGUUCGUUGCUCCAGUGCCUUUCCGUUCACCUUCACACUCCUGGGCCAGACUACACUCAAUCAUAGGACCUACUGAAGAGAUGAGUCUUCAAUAAAGACUUAAAGGUUGAGACCGAGUCUGCGUCUCUCACAUGGAUAAGAUCUAAACCAGGCCAGAACUUGUCGGUGUAGACCAAUUUGGGUUUCCAAUCUCUCCAAAAGAAUGUGGUGAUCGAUGGUAUCAAAAGCAGCACUAAGGUCUAGGAGGACAAGGACAGAUGCAGAGCCUCGGGCUGACUCCAUUAAAAGAAUGAAUGGGUUCCCUCCCCAAUCAAAGGUGACAUGCAUAAUACUGGCACGUGGUGUGCUCCACAACAUAGCCCUGAGGCAUGGUAUUGAAAUGGAUGCAGAGAUUAGAACGGAUCCCAAGAGCCUCCUAACCCACCACCCAAUGGAACACCUGCCCCGGCUGAUGCAGUGAGGAGGCAGCAGCUCAUACUGAGAUUGGUGGACUGAGGCGGUCGACACACGAACUGUAGACGUGGACGCAGAUGUGGAUG
rnacentral:lncRNA from 1 species